GACAGAGGUCCCGAGCGUUAGGCGGAAUCACUGGGCUUAAAGCGUGUGUAGGCGGAUCGGUAAGUACCUUGUGAAAUCCCACAGCUUAACUGUGGAACUGCUUGGUAUACUGCCAGUCUUGAGCCACCUAGGGGCGAGCGGAACAAGCGGUGGAGCGGUGAAAUGCGUAGAUAUCGCUUGGAACGCCAAUGGUGAAAACAGCUCGGCUGGGGGUGUGC
rnacentral:rRNA from 1 species